rnacentral:rRNA from 1 species
GUGGCGAACGGGUGAGUAACACGUGAGUAACCUGCCCUCCACUUCGGGAUAACCUCGGGAAAUCGUGGCUAAUACCGGAUAUGAGCACUCAUCGCAUGGUGGGUGUUGGAAAGAUUUAUCGGUGGGGGAUGGACUCGCGGCCUAUCAGUUUGUUGGUGAGGUGAUGGCUCACCAAGACGAUGACGGGUAGCCGGCCUGAGAGGGCGACCGGCCACACUGGGACUGAGACACGGCCCAGACUCCUACGGGAGGCAGCAGUGGGGAAUAUUGCACAAUGGGCGAAAGCCUGAUGCAGCGACGCCGCGUGGGGGAUGACGGCCUUCGGGUUGUAAACCCCUUUCAGUAGGGAAGAAGCGAGAGUGACGGUACCUGCAGAAGAAGCGCCGGCUAACUACGUGCCAGCAGCCGCGGUAAUACGUAGGGCGCAAGCGUUGUCCGGAAUUAUUGGGCGUAAAGAGCUUGUAGGUGGCUUGUCGCGUCUGCCGUGAAAACCCGAGGCUCAACCUCGGGCGUGCGGUGGGUACGGGCAGGCUAGAGUGUGGUAGGGGAGACUGGAACUCCUGGUGUAGCGGUGAAAUGCGCAGAUAUCAGGAAGAACACCGAUGGCGAAGGCAGGUCU